rnacentral:rRNA from 1 species
UACAGAGGGUGCAAGCGUUAAUCGGAAUUACUGGGCGUAAAGCGUGCGUAGGUGGUUCGUUGUGUCUGUGGUGAAAUCCCCGGGCUUAACCUGGGAAUGGCCAUGGAAACUGGCGAGCUGGAGUCUGGCAGAGGGGGGUGGAAUUCCCGGUGUAGCGGUGGAAUGCGCAGAGAUCGGGAAGAACAUCAGUGGCGAAGGCGGUCUGCUGGGCCGUUGCUGACGCUGAGGCGCGACAGCGUAGGGAGCAAACAGG